rnacentral:rRNA from 1 species
CCAUCAUUCAGUUGGGCACUCUGGUGGAACCGCCGGUGACAAGCCGGAGGAAGGCGGGGAUGACGUCAAGUCCUCAUGGCCCUUAUGGGUUGGGCUACACACGUGCUACAAUGGCGGUGACAGUGGGAAGCGAAGUCGCGAGAUGGAGCAAAUCCCCAAAAGCCGUCUCAGUUCGGAUCGCACUCUGCAACUCGAGUGCGUGAAGUUGGAAUCGCUAGUAAUCGCGGAUCAGCACGCCGCGGUGAAUACGUUCCCGGGCCUUGUACACACCGCCCGUCACACCAUGGGAGUUGGUUUUACCCGAAGGUG